rnacentral:rRNA from 1 species
AAGAGUGGCGAACGAGUGAGUAACACGUGGGUACCCUACCUCUUAGCAGGGGAUAACAUUUGGAAACAAGUGCUAAUACCGUAUAAUACCAACAACCGCAUGGUUGUUGGUUGAAAGAUGGUUCUGCUAUCACUAAGAGAUGGACCCGCGGUGCAUUAGCUAGUUGGUAAGGUAACGGCUUACCAAGGCAAUGAUGCAUAGCCGAGUUGAGAGACUGAUCGGCCACAAUGGGACUGAGACACGGCCCAUACUCCUACGGGAGGCAGCAGUAGGGAAUCUUCCACAAUGGGCGCAAGCCUGAUGGAGCAACGCCGCGUGUGUGAUGAAGGGUUUCGGCUCGUAAAACACUGUUAUAAGAGAAGAACGGCACUGAGAGUAACUGUUCAGUGUGUGACGGUAUCUUACCAGAAAGGAACGGCUAAAUACGUGCCAGCAGCCGCGGUAAUACGUAUGUUCCAAGCGUUAUCCGGAUCUAUUGGGCGUAAAGCGAGCGCAGACGGUUAUUUAAGUCUGAAGUGAAAGCCCUCAGCUCAACUGAGGAAUGGCUUUGGAAACUGGAUGACUUGAGUGCAGUAGAGGAAAGUGGAACUCCAUGUGUA